CCUGUAACUUCUGUUUUUUUACCACACUUAUUGCAAGUCCAUAGUUUUAGGUUACUACUCAACUUUUUAAAAAAUGACAUGUUAGCUCGUUCCUGAUUAGUGAGAAUGACCGCAAACUUGGCAGCUACCAUCAUCGUAAGCACGUUGACCACAAGCUGGACAUGUCGUUACUACUGUUAAGAUUUUUUUGAUUGUCAUGAUAUUUCCCUAUUAGUUUCUAUUAGUGAUAGCCACUUAGAUUAAGCAGCUUGAAAUUAGUAUAUGGCUAGCUACUGACAGGUUGUGUCACCUCCUCUGUAAAUUGUUGAU
rnacentral:misc_RNA from 1 species